rnacentral:rRNA from 1 species
GACAGAGGGUGCUAGCGUUGUUCGGAAUCACUGGGCGUAAAGGGCGCGUAGGCGGCCUGGUCAGUCGGGUGUGAAAGCCCGGGGCUCAACCCCGGAACGGCAUUCGAUACGGACAGGCUGGAGUCCGGGAGAGGAAGGUGGAAUACCCAGUGUAGAGGUGAAAUUCGUAGAUAUUGGGUGGAACACCAGUGGCGAAGGCGGCCUUCUGGUCCGGAACUGACGCUGAGGCGCGAAAGCGUGGGGAGCAAACAGG